UGUGCCAAGGAGUAGGCACAGGCUUUCAGGGAAGAAGGUCAGGACAUCGCAAGACGCGAUUCAUCAGGACGAUGACAGGGAAUACAGGGAAUAGGGACAGAAAAGGUGGGCGGCUUAUGCCGCCCCUUUUUUU
rnacentral:sRNA from 1 species